GGAUCACUUGAGCCCAGAGGUGGAGGCUGUAGUGAGCCAUGAUCAUGCCACUGCACUUCAGCCUGGGUGAAAGAGCAAGACCCCUGUCUCAAAAAAAAGUAAAAAGUUACAGAAUUUCCACCUUGAAACAGAAGCCAAAUUGGGAAUCAAGAGGUGAACCACUUAAAGUCACCUGACAAAUCAAAAACCAACUUGAAAAUUAAGUCAUUUCUCUUUCUUACUUGCUGCAAUGAAAUCUAAAAUAUAUGUUGCCCUGGUUGAGACUGUUUGUCUUGGAUCAACAUCAUUCUAAAAAGGGUAAAUUUGACAGUGAGGCUUAUUGUACAUUUCUUCCUUUCACUUUUUCAAGUUUUUACAACUAAAAGAAAUGAAUAGUGUGGCAGCUGGAAUAGAAAUCUCUUACUGAUCGGGCCAUAAAAUGGGAGCUUUCAAAAACAGCCUGUUCUCUACAAAGUAAAAUAAUGUAAAUGUUGUCUAAACUGUUUAAUGCUAUACUUGAGAACUAUAGUUUUAAAGCUUCUUUUGCUAUGGCUUUCUUAUAAUUUAUAAAUAUUAUGAAUUUUCAAAUGGGUUAGCACAAGAUAGGUAAAUCUCAUGCCCUCUUCUGUUCCCAUAGCCGCUUUUAUACACAUCUUGUUAUAAUUACUGUCUUUUUUACCCAGUAGCCUAUGGGUUCUUCGAGGGCAGUAUUCAGGUCUUGUCUUCCUGCCUCACAGCAGAGUGCCUUGUGUGUGAUAAAGCCCCAACACACUGAAUUAAUAAAAACCAUAGAUCAUCCUGCCCAGCCUGUUUUAGGAAGUAUUUGUGUAUAUACUUCAGUAGCUUGGUUGGUCAGCUCUGUGCCCAGUAUCUCUGCUCAGAAGGCAAGAACAGGGGAGGGUCUGAAAUUCCUUGGGCUGUUCUCAUUAACAGCUCAUUCAGUUCCAUUCAGUGAACCCUCUGAGCAUCUGACCUACUUCAGGCCUUGCUCCCCAUGCAGGAUUCGACAAGAUGAAUGAGAGGGCCUGCUUUGGGCAAAGCUCUCUGGGCCUUGAGAUGUCUCUUCAUCCCAAAGAAUCUACACUGUAGCAGGGGAGAUGGGAAAUGAAAGGACAAAUAUUUAUGCAUCAGUUGGGUUGAGGGAGCAAUCAAUACUUCAGGGAAGGGAGAGCAAGGAAAACAAAGAGAGUUGACAGGGGAGGGGAGGGAGGUUCCAGAAUGGAUAUGGUAGAUAAGUAGCAGUCUUGAUGUGUGAAAAUUAAUACAUGGUACAUUUGGGGAGACAGCAAGCACAUUAAGGCAUAGAUUCAAGGAGGGUUGGGGCUUAAGUUGUUUAAGUGAGAUGAAUUUUUUUUUUCUUAACGCUUUCCACACGAUUUAGUCCUUGGAGGACUCACAAAACAGAGCAAGGUUGUCAUCUCUUAAUGCUCGCAGAUCCUAUCCCCUUAACUUUCUAGCCAAACUGAAUUUAGUCCGUCCUUAAACUCAUCUGCCCUUCCCAAAUAUGAGUUAUUUGCUCAAGACAUUUCUUUCUCCUAGAAGGCCCCCUGCCCUGUUUGAUGUGAGUGGUAGUUUAGUUAACUGGACUGAAGCCACCAAUCUCUACCACCAAGCUUUCCUCAGAGAAGGAGAUCAGAAACGUUAGGAGAUUUAAAUGUAAUGAACUAAUACAGAACUAUAAAGUGUGUGUGUGUGUGUGUAUGUGUGUGUGUGUGUGUGUGUGUGCCCGUGCCCAUGCUAAUUUCAGUUCCCUUUCCUUGUCCUAUCCACUCUCUGGUAUAUGUAAAUAAUGAACUGAUUAAAACACUCACAGAAGGGAAGAGAAGAUAAGGAGGAAGAAGAGAAGUUGAUGUUCAUUCUAAACCCUCAGGUGUGUGAUUUCAGGAGGAAAGAGGCUGUUUGUAAAUAAAGAAAUAUACACACACAUAUAAUAAUUGUCCUUCACAUAUAUAUAAUAAUUGUAAUUUAAGAUAAUGUGAAUACUUGCAGUGAUACAGCUUAAAUACCACUAAAGUGAUAAAACCAAGGGACUACAGGAUCUCGGAGAAGGAAAAUCUCACCUUCAGCUAUUAGAGAUUCAGUGAUUAGAAAUUGAGAAGUAGCAUUUGAAUUGGGUCUUAAGCACAGAUAGAAUUUUAGCUGCGGUCAUAGUUGUAGUGGAAGAGUGCCAGGUACUAUUCUGAGCACUUUAAUAUUCUAAUUCAGUUGAGCCUCACAAUGAACCCUGUGAUACAGGUAUUAUUGUUCUUGUCAUUAUUAUUAUACCCAUUUCCCAAAUUAGGAAACUAUGGCCUAGAGCAGUUUAGGGACUUACCCAAAGUCAAACAGUUAGUAAAUAAUAAAGAAGGUAUUUGAAUAUAGGUAGUGUUGGCUUCAGUCCAGUUAACUAAACUACCACUUACACGGAACAGAGUAGAGGGCCUUCCAGGAGAAAGAAAUGUCUUGAGCGAAGAGCUCAUAUUUGGGAAGGGCAAGAUGAGUUUAAGGAGUAACUAAAGCCAGUUUGGCUAGAGAGUUAGGGAAUAGGAUCUGUGAGCAUUGAGAGAUGACAACCCUGCCCUGUUUUAUUUUGUUUUGUUUUGUUAAGACAGGUUAUCACUCUGUUUCCCUUGGGGAAGUGCAGUGGUGCUAUUAUGGCUCAUUCCAGCCGUGUCCUCUUGGGCUCAAGCGAUCCUCCCAGUUCAGCCUCCCAAGUAGCUGAGACUCCAGAUGCAUGCCACCAUUCCUGGCUAAUUUUUAAAAUUUUUUUUGUAGAGAUGGGGUCUUACUGUGUUGCCCUGUCUGUUCUCAAACUCUGGUCUCAAGUGAACUUUUUGCCUCGCCUCCAAAAGUGCUGGAAUUAUAGGUAUCAGCAGCAUGCCUGGCCUUACCACCCUGUUUUGAACUCUAGACUUCCCAUGCAUCUCCCUGCUUCAUCUUUCUAGUACUUGAUGCUAUUAUCUAACACACUACUUACUAUUUUACUGGUUUAUCACAUUUAGUCUCUCUUCACUAGAUUGUAAGUACCUAGAAGUUUGGGAUUAUUCGGCUUUGUUCACUAUGGUAUCUUUGGUGACUAGAAGAAUAUCUGGCACUUUCCUAUUGAGUAUCUGUUGAAUGAAUGAAUAGAUAAGUUGAAUCCAGAUGACUGAAGGUUCCGCAAUACUCUACCAGUUUUUUACCUCUUGGGGACCCCACAUAAUAUGUGGAAAGCUACCAAUCAACCUUGAUCAUAUCAAUGUGUCAUAUGUCAGUACAUUCAUUGCUGCCCUUUGGAGGAGGGGGUGCUGCAAGAAUAUAGUGGAGAAAUAGAAAGACAUUGAAAGGAUUCUAUGGUUUGAAAUGCUUUGUUCUACUUGCGUUACUCACUAGGAGUGGCUGCUGAGGUGGACUGAUUUUUAAGGGACUUCAGGAGGCAUUGCAACAAAUCUCAUCCCAACCCGAUUAUAAGUACCUAAAGUUACAUACUGUCGGAUUUCACCUCCUGUUAUUAAUCAUUGAUUUUUCAUUGAGAUCCACUUUUUUGUUCUUAGUGCUAGUUCAGCAUUCACUAUACUAGCUAAGAAGCAGCAUGUUUCUGCUGUACCCAGGCUCUUGGGCCAGACUAUUGGGCCACCAUGGUGUCCUGCCUCCAUAGCUUGGACAUAUUUUACCUAAGCUUCAACAAUGGAAGCUUAGUAAUAGUAGUACUGGCUUUGAAAAAUAGAAUAAUAGUAAUACUUUCCUCAGUGGACUGAUGUGAGGAUUAAUCAGUUAAUAUAUAUUCUUUUUAAUUUUAAAAGAGUAUAUGGUGCUUACUUUGGCAACACAUAUUACUAAAAUUGGAGUAAUACGGAGAUUAGCAUGGCCCCUGUGCAAGGAUGACAUGCAAAUUUGUAAAGCAUUCCGUUUUUUUAAAAAAGCGUCUGACACAUAGUAAGGUAUAUAGAGACUUUGGAUUGUUGGAAAGAAUUCUUGGAAAGGAAGGUGAAAAAGAAAUAAAGGCAGAUUUUAUUUAUCUAACAGUUUGGCCAGAAUCCUAUGGCUAAAGAUACCUUAACUUUGCUGUUUUUAGAUUCCACCAUCACUACCCUGAAAGAUUAUUUUGGAGAGUGUUGUUGGGUUUGAUCAUGUGGCAUUAAAAAUGCCAGAUGACCAUAUGUUCUCACUCAUGUGGGAGCCAAGCUAUGAGAACGCAAAGGCAUAAGAUGAUACAGUGGACUUUGGGGAUUUGGGGAAAAGGGUGGUGGGUGGCGAGGGAUAAAAGACUACACAUCGGGUACAGUGUAUACUGCUCAGGUGAUGGGUGCACCAAAAUCUCAGAAAUCACCCCUAGAGAACUUCUUCAUGUAACCUAACACCACCUGUCCCCCAAAAACCUAUUUUAAAAAAUUAAUUUUAAAAAGAUUAU